rnacentral:rRNA from 1 species
GCGGAACACGUACAGAACCUUCCUUUAAGCGGGGAUAGCCCGGAGAAAUCCGGAUUAAUACCCCAUAGUAUUAUUAAGUGGCAUCAUUUAAUAAUUAAAGAUUUAUCACUUAGAGAUGGCUGUGCGGCUGAUUAGGUAGUUGGUUGGGGUAACGGCUCACCAAGCCUUCGAUCAGUAACUGGUGUGAGAGCACGACCAGUCACACGGGCACUGAGACACGGGCCCG